GCAUUAAUGGGGUAGUGGUAACCUGGGUCGUUGCCAUUCCUUCCGAGCUUGCUCGACCCGCCGGGGGUUCGAUUCCCCCUUAAUGCA